UACGUAGGGUGCGAGCGUUAAUCGGAAUUACUGGGCGUAAAGCGUGCGCAGGCGGCUUUGUAAGACAGAUGUGAAAUCCCCGGGCUUAACCUGGGAAUGGCAUUUUGAACUGGCAGUCUAGAGUGUGUCAGAGGAGGGUGGAAUUCCACGUGUAGCAGUGAAAUGCGUAGAUAUGUGGAGGAACACCAAUGGCGAAGGCAGCCCCCUGGGAUAACACUGACGCUCAUGUACGAAAGCGUGGGUAGCAAACAGG
rnacentral:rRNA from 1 species